UUAUUUUCUCAUUGUGUACAAGUAUGCAUGAAAACAAAUUAGUUUGUGGUAAAGCUUGUUUAAGUAAACAUUUUAAGGGAGUAUAUUGUUUUUUUCUGGCUUAGUUAUAUAUGAUAUGAGUUGUUUAAUGAGUGCUAUUAUUUUAUUAUUUCAAUUUUGUUAGAUACAAAGGUAUUGCUUGAAUGAAUUUUGAACAUUUGUGUGAAUGCUGUAAGAGAACUGUUUUCAUCACAUAAUAUCAGUUUCCUUAGUAAGACUGUGUAGAUGACUGGAAAAAUGUUCCAAUUAUUAUUAUUAUUAGAAGCCUUUCGACUUUUGUUCCCAUGCCCUCUGAUACACGCUUUUAUUUGAAAAGAAUUAAAUUAUUAUUUGUCAUUCU
rnacentral:sRNA from 1 species